rnacentral:rRNA from 1 species
UACAGAGGUGGCAAGCGUUGUUCGGAAUUACUGGGCGUAAAGGGCGCGUAGGCGGCCUUCUAAGUCAGACGUGAAAUCCCCCGGCUUAACCUGGGAACUGCGCCUGAUACUGGGAGGCUUGAGUAUGGGAGAGGGAUGUAGAAUUCCAGGUGUAGCGGUGAAAUGCGUAGAUAUCGUAAGGAAGACCAGUGGCGAAGGCGGGUCUCUGGACAGUUCCUGACGCUGAGGCACGAAGGUCAGGGGAGCAAACGGG